CCUGUGCCCUGGCACUGCAUAGAUGCCACCAAUCCUGUUGCACCAUAGUGAGAACUCCUAUUUAUGGAUCUUUACAGUGUGGUUCCUAUGGACUUCUGUGUCUAAUGAAGAGGAAGACUACAUUCUGGAAUCUUCCAGGAACAGGUGUAUUUGACCACACACUGGGGGAAGUGGGGGAAGUAAAGACCUGAGCUUUGAGGAAGUCAAGCUGGAGGCCCUCAGAGGUGGUUAUUUAUAUCAGAGUGAUGUGUAUUGAAAGCCAAAGACUUUCAUUCCCCCACCAUCACGGAGCUGAUUUAGAGAAGAGGAAGGGCGUGUAUUUCGCCUUCUUAAAUAUCUGCUGCAAGAACUUCUGGUGUGGGUCAGACUGCUCAUGAUCCAUGCACAGGCUUUAUGGUAGAUGAAAGGGUGUGUCAUCAAUCUUGUUUCAACUACUUUGUACAUAAAAUGGCUAACUUCUCAUUGGUUGACAGACUGUGUGACUUCAUUCUUAUUUCCUUUCGCAAGAUGCUCCCUAUAUACCCCCCAUGUGAACAGCCUGUUGUGCAUGUUUGGGGUGGGGGAGGAAGGACCUUACAUUGUCUAAGCUCAAAAUAAGAAAAUCAGACUCUAACAACAACCCAAAACAAUGCAUUAGAAACUCUUGUGGUGCCACUAACAUAAAUGAAGUCUCACAUAAUUAGCUUUCAUUUUAUAUCUCUUGCAUUGUAAAAUCCCUCCCUGCCCACACCCCACCCCCAUUCAGGCUCUUUUGGUUAUGAGAAAUGAGUGUGUUUUAGGACCAACAUGUCAGAAUUAUGAGGAAGAAACUUGGCAGUGGAACAAACUAUGUGAUACGCUUGACAAGAACUGAGAAACGACCCAUUUCAGGUUUUCUGAGGCAGCCUUUCAUUUUUGGUUCAGCAAUAUAGCCCAGAAGCCACAGAAUGGGAAGCACCGUUGCCAGCACCAUGAGGGUCAUAAAGAGUAAGUCUUUACUAAGGAACCAACGCAGGAGAUUUCUGUACAGAAAAAUGAGGUGUCUGUAGGAGAAGAACUUAGUCCUGCGUCCACCAAGGGGCCCAGUCACAUUGGGAUGGAAGUCCUCAUCCUCAGGCUCAGAGUGGUGAAUGGGAGGCGUGCCUUGCUCAGCCCCAGAGUGGAGACAAAUGGGUGUGGAAUUCACCAUAAUCUAUGGCAAGAAAUGGCCCUUACCCAUGGGAUUGAGAAUAUUAAUGCCAGGAAGAGGUCAGACAUUGAUAUUGAAGAGCAGACCUGUGUUGGAAUGAAUGCAGUUCUAGGGCGAGACUGGUGAAUGAAGAAGGAAACGAAAGAUCAAUGUGAUGGUUAGAUCUUCAGCUAUUGAGUCAUGUAGUGAAUUUGAAAAUGGAAGCCAUAUCCUAAGGACAGCAGAACAAAAAGAUAGAGGAAACCUGGAACAUUGAUGACUCUGUAGCUCCCAUACCACUCAGAAUUCAGCCUUCCUUUGUAUGAGAAAUAAGAUAUUAUCUUAUUGAAGCUACUAUUAUUUCCUCCUUCACCUGGGACAUCACAAGCCUAGGGAUCUUUGGAAGGUUUCAAACAAAGAGUGAAGAAUUAGGGAUUUUAUUUGUUUAGUUUUUGGUUGUUUAUUUUUUAAGUUAAAUAGGCUGUAAAAUAAAAGUGUUUUAAUUUGAAAAAAUAGUCUCUGAGCUCUAUCAUAAAAGGAAUCAAGGGGUUAUAUAUUAUUGUAUUAUGUAUUUAUUUGGCUUAAACAAAAAGAGGGUUUUAUUUGCUUAUGUAAUUGAGAAAUCCAGAAGUUGGGUGGGCUUAGGUAAGGCCAUCUCUAGUAGCUGGAUAAGCCAACCAAGAUUCAGUGUCUUUCCAUUUCUUCUGAGUCUCCCACGGUUUUUCUUAGAUUGUCUCAUCUACUGACCACAAAAGCCCAGAAGCCCUUGGCAAAGUCUCCUUAUAUCUGGACCAGGGGGCUCUCCCCAAACCAGUCACUGUGGCUAGGGUAGCUAGCACACUAGAAUCUCUGGAUGGUUUGUACUUACCAAACUCCACCCAGAAAACUUCGGUUAGGUUAAUUCCUCUCAACUGCAUGGCUGGGAAGGAG